rnacentral:rRNA from 1 species
CCUACGGGAGGCAGCAGUGGGGAAUAUUGCACAAUGGGCGCAAGCCUGAUGCAGCCAUGCCGCGUGUGUGAAGAAGGCCUUCGGGUUGUAAAGCACUUUCAGCGGGGAGGAAGGCGGUAAGGUUAAUAACCUUGGCGAUUGACGUUACCCGCAGAAGAAGCACCGGCUAACUCCGUGCCAGCAGCCGCGGUAAUACGGAGGGUGCAAGCGUUAAUCGGAAUUACUGGGCGUAAAGCGCACGCAGGCGGUCUGUCAAGUCGGAUGUGAAAUCCCCGGGCUCAACCUGGGAACUGCAUUCGAAACUGGCAGGCUAGAGUCUUGUAGAGGGGGGUAGAAUUCCAGGUGUAGCGGUGAAAUGCGUAGAGAUCUGGAGGAAUACCGGUGGCGAAGGCGGCCCCCUGGACAAAGACUGACGCUCAGGUGCGAAAGCGUGGGGAGCAAACAGGAUUAGAUACCCGAGUAGUC